rnacentral:lncRNA from 1 species
AGUUAUAUAUCUUUAUGAUCACAAUUUCAUAGUUUAUGAAAUAGGUAUCGUAUAAUAAAUUUCAUGGUCAUUAUUAUCGGAUUUAAUGUUCAGAAAAUAAUCAGUAAAAAGUUUCUUCCUUGAUAUAUAUAUUUGCUUAUAGUGUAUAUGAACAGUUGGAAGAUAAUCGUAUUUCUUGAAUCCGUAAAAAAAAAAAACCAAUACACACGUAAAGGAAAUACACAUACAUCUUGAUCUAGCUAUAUGAACAAAUCAAACGUUGAAACUGACGACAGAUACCGAAAACAUAUAUAGCAGAUACAUGAAUCUAGUAUAUAUCGCUCUCUCGAUAGAUUAUGACAAAAGAAAGAAAGAAAAAAAUGACCAUAUUAUAUACUGUAUGUGUUCGUGUUUUUGGUCCCCCAAGAAGAAGAAGAUGAAAUAAGAAAGAAGAUGAAAAAGAAAUGAAGGUAGGAGAUAGGAACAGUGUCACGAGGAAUGCUUUGGAUCUUCUCGGAACAUAUCUUGUCUAUAUGUCUCCUUGUUUUGUCUCACCAGCACGUGAGAUUUUUGAGUUUCUUCCUCUUCUUCCUUUGCCCAAAUUAUAAUUUUUUUUCUCUCAUAAUGCUAUUGUGUGUCCCUAUUCAAGUGGCUAAUAAUACUCAUGAAGCUUCGGUUUUUGUUGCCUAAUUUCUCUAUUUGCA